UACGUAGGGAGCAAGCGUUGUCCGGAAUCAUUGGGCGUAAAGCGCGCGUAGGUGGCCUCAUAAGUCCGCUGUGAAAGUCCAAGGCUUAACCUUGGAAAGCCGGUGGAUACUGUGAGGCUAGAGUACGGAAGAGGCGAGUGGAAUUCCUGGUGUAGCGGUGGAAUGCGCAGAUAUCAGGAGGAACACCAAUAGCGAAGGCAGCUCGCUGGGACGUUACUGACACUGAGGCGCGAAAGCGUGGGGAGCGAACAGG
rnacentral:rRNA from 1 species